AUGGGCACACAACAACAAGAUUGGGCCGCCAGACGGGCGAAGGAUGAGGAGGUGGACAAGGAGGAGGACGGCGAGGACGAUGAUCCGAAUGAUUUUGUCGGUGACCCGAAGAAGAAGGGUAGAGGAGAAUGCUCCAACAUGCGGGAGGAUGAGCUGUUGUGUGAUGCAUGGUUGGCCACUAGCUUCGAUCCGAUGCAUGGCACGGAGCAAAAGGGCACAACCAUUUGGACCAGCAUUCACACAUGGUUCCAUGAACUCAAGCAUUUCACGCCCUACACCGACGUGGGCAUCCACAACUGUGAAUCAAAUUCCCCAACCAUCGAUGGUAGACCAACCAAGAGGCAAUGUCGAAGUAUUGCGGCCACUUGGCGCAUCUCAUCGCGCGAUGGCCUAGUGGUGCGCAAAUCACAGAGAAAGUAA
rnacentral:rRNA from 1 species